rnacentral:rRNA from 1 species
CACGAAGGGAGCUAGCGUUGUUCGGAAUCACUGGGCGUAAAGCGCACGUAGGCGGUUUUGUCAGUCAGGGGUGAAAUCCCGGGGCUCAACCUCGGAACUGCCUUUGAUACAGCAAGUCUUGAGUUCGAGAGAGGUGGGUGGAAUUCCUAGUGUAGAGGUGAAAUUCGUAGAUAUUAGGAAGAACACCGGUGGCGAAGGCGGCCCACUGGCUCGAUACUGACGCUGAGGUGCGAAAGCGUGGGGAGCAAACAGG